rnacentral:rRNA from 1 species
UACGUAGGUCCCGAGCGUUGUCCGGAUUUAUUGGGCGUAAAGCGAGCGCAGGUGGUUUAUUAAGUCUGGUGUAAAAGGCAGUGGCUCAACCAUUGUAUGCAUUGGAAACUGGUAGACUUGAGUGCAGGAGUGGAGAGUGGAAUUCCAUGUGUAGCGGUGAAAUGCGUAGAUAUAUGGAGGAACACCGGUGGCGAAAGCGGCUCUCUGGCCUGUAACUGGCACUGAGGCUCGAAAGCGUGGGGAGCAAACAGG